rnacentral:misc_RNA from 1 species
CCGAGUAACACUGCUCUGGGUUUACCAGAGUCAGUAACUCUCACCCCUUGUUUUUAAAACAUACAUCAUUAUUUCGGCAAGCCAAUGGAGUCUGCUCCAUUCUCUGGCUUUAGCGAUUGAGUGUUUGCCGAAAAUCUAAACUCUUAUAAUUGUUUGUCUGAGGUGGUUUUAAAAAAAUAA